rnacentral:lncRNA from 10 species
CAGACUGCAUACAAAAACCAAGCAAAAUAUAAUGGCCUUCCAUUUGUUUUAUGGUAAUUGGACAUUUAUUUCAUAAAGGUGUGGUUCUCGGUGAAGACAAGUUCAAUUGAUAUGCUUGAAGAAUUCUAAUUAAGAAACAAGGUAAUUUCAAAGUGCUUCAGUGUUUGCCUUCUCACAUCUUCUGGGACUCCACUCAGUCUGUCUUACAAGAGCCAGGAAAACCAAGACAACAGCAACUGAGUCAGCUCAGGCUACAGAUAUCUUCCCUUCCCCUCUUCUUUUCUUCAUUCAUUUAACAAACAUUUAUUGACUGUGUGUUGGACUGUGCUUAAUGCUGAAGACACAGUGAUGAACAACAUAGUCAUGGUCACUGUCCCCUGGAGCUCACAGUCUCAGCAGAGGCAACUACUCAAGCAGUUACAAUGCAGUAUAGGAGGUGCCAUAAUAGGGAAACAUAGGAAGGGAACCCAACCCAAAGGGCUGGGAAGACUUCCUGGAAGAAACGACACUUAAGCAGACACCUCAAGGAUAAAAAAGAAUUGGCCAGUGAAGAGGUGGAACAUGUUCCUGGCAGAUGGUACAGCAUAUGCCAAGACCCAUAGGCAAGAGACUCUGAAAGAAAUUCAAUAUGGCUAGAAUAGAAUGGUGGGGAUGAGACUGAAGUUAGACAAAUAGGCAGGAGCUAGAUCACGUGAGGCCUUACAAACCAUGCUAAGUUAAGACUUCAUCCUUAGAGCAAUGGGGGAGCCACUCCAGGAACUUCUAUUUGAAGCACAUAUACAUUAUCUAUACUCCCCUUGAUGUCAUGGGCAAGGAGGGGAAGGGGGACAUAAUUCCUUUCACUGACAAAUACCAUAUUAUCCUCUUUAUCUCAUUAUGGGCUCUCUCUUUCUCCCCCCAACUCCCCCCCCCAAGUGUGUAUGUGCAUAUGUGCUGGCAGAAAAGAAUUUCCCAUCUAUCUGGCAUUCUUUCUCCCCCAAAAUGGUCUUCCAAAGGACUCUCUGUCUUCUUUAGCCUCCAAACCUCCUGUAGGAAAACAACCUGUUGCAUGGCAACAGUGAUGCCAUCUGGAAGCAGAACUGCUAUGAUGACCGAUGUUUCAUCCCUGCAUGCCACAGUAUUCUGCAGCAAGAUCUUCAAACUAUGCUCAUAGCAUAGAUAACCCCUCAUAAAGAAACAAUACCUGUAGCAUGGACAACUCUUCAUGAAGAUGCUUACUCCCCAGUGAUCAUGAGAUUCAAAAGAAAGUAUGCAACACGACCACCUGCACAUAUUUCACCAAAAACACGAUGUCUCCCAGCCACUGAGACAUCGUGUCUGUUGGUAAGUCCCUAUUAAAUGUUUCUCUUUG